rnacentral:ncRNA from 1 species
CCGGUUCCGGUUCACGUCCUCGACUGAGGGCGACCCGGCGACC